rnacentral:rRNA from 1 species
AACGAACGCUGGCGGCAUGCCUAACACAUGCAAGUCGAACGAACCCUUCGGGGUUAGUGGCGCACGGGUGCGUAACGCGUGGGAAUCUGCCCUUUGCUUCGGAAUAACUCAGGGAAACUUGUGCUAAUACCGGAUGAUGUCUUCGGACCAAAGAUUUAUCGGCAAGGGAUGAGCCCGCGUAGGAUUAGGUAGUUGGUGGGAUAAAGGCCUACCAAGCCGACGAUCCUUAGCUGGUCUGAGAGGAUGAUCAGCCACACUGGGACUGAGACACGGCCCAGACUCCUACGGGAGGCAGCAGUGGGGAAUAUUGGACAAUGGGCGCAAGCCUGAUCCAGCAAUGCCGCGUGAGUGAUGAAGGCCCUCGGGUCGUAAAGCUCUUUUACCAGGGAUGAUAAUGACAGUACCUGGAGAAUAAGCGCCGGCUAACUCCGUG